AUAUGAAAGCCAUAGGAAUAUCGAAGCAUGCUUCUAGCGAUUGUGGUUGGCUACCAAGACAAUUAUAGAAGUGGACGAUGAAAGAGUGAAGUGAUCUCUUUUCUUCUACACAGCUGCGUAUGAGCGUAUCUGGAUUUAAUGGUUUCAAAACGAAGUCUGAUCAUUUGGUAGGCCAAACCAGCCUCUCUUUGUCUUUUAAUUGCUUCCCAUUACUGGGCAAGGGUCCAUGAAAAUCCGUUCAUCUUUGUGCAUUGUGUGGGGAAUUCUCCUUGGUUGGUAACACAACAGGAGGAGAAGGAAGGGUCGAUUUUCGGGUUGGUUGACAAUUUGGCAUGUUUAGAUGUAUGUAUUUUGGUCAUCAUCACAGAGCUUUUGUUCAUGAACAUUUAACAUAGCUCUGCUGAAUCUUGUUCUUUCAUGAACUUCCAACUGUGAAAUUGCUUUUUUUGGUUCUCAUU